UCUUUUAACAAAAAAAAUAUUAAGAGUCGAAAAAAGAACCUUCAAACCUAAUAAUCCCCUAAACCCAGGUCUUCCUCUUGUCUUCGCCGAUGCCGAUGGCCAGCCCAAACUGUGAAGCUCCUCUUCUACAGUUCUCCUCAUCGUCUUGUCCAAGCUAAUCUUUCUCAAGUUUUGUUCUGUUUUCUACACUCUUCAUGACCAUGGAAAUUUGCAAAACCAAAUCGAGACCUCUACGGCGAUACCGUCUUUCAACAUGUCGAUAUGGCUUCUUUAGAUAAUCUAAACAGUCAGGAGAUCAAUGAAGAUCUGCACAAUCAGCAACUCGCCGCCGGUUAUGCAACUCCUGAAAACCCUAGAUCUACACAUAUCUUCUUGUCUUCGUUUCCAAAUCCUUCUUCUCCGUCAUCUCCAUAUUAGUUAGGGUUUGUGUUGACCGGAUAUCUCUCUUAUUUUGCAUCGUGAUUGCACUUGAGAUUCGUAAUUGGUUUUUGGUUAAUUUUCCUCUUUGAUUGCGAGUUUUGGAUUUUGAAGGCCUGUGUAAGUUAUUCAACAUUUUGCCAUUCUCUAGCUUACCAAAAGAUGUAUCUUUUGACUUUGAAGUAAAAUGGAUAGAUACAAGAGAGUCAAUAAACCGAAGCUUGAGUCUCCGAUUAACGAGAAUGAGAUCCGUAUCACCAGUCAAGGCCUUAUCCUAAUUUGUGUUGUGUAGUUGCAGGUUGAAGCUGAUUACGUGAUGAGCUUUAGGACAUGCUCAGUUUAUGUAUCUUCUAAUCUUUGACUUGUUAAGUCUCUUUGUUGGGAACAUGUAGGAGUGAGGACCAUAAGAAGACAGGUCUUGAGUAAGAAUGGGUCUACUAAAACUGGAGGACUUCAAGACUUUGCUACAACUGUUUGCGUUAAACUAGCUUGCUACCUAAAGAAGCAGCAAGUAUGCUUUUUCAAAAAUACAGGUGAGAUUUCUGAUGGGAUAUAUUAUUUGUUACUCUCUUUCAAAUUACAACUGACGUAUACGUACUACCAUCAAACUCAAACCUUGCUGGGAGAAGGUAAAAUCUUAACAUGAGAAUGCUUGUUUGAGAUGGAAUCUUGAAAUUUUUAAAUCUGAAAUGGUUGUUAGUCUUGUUUCUUUCUCCAUGUGAAAUUCCAUACGAAUGAACACUUGCAGGACAUGCUCGGAAAUGAGUUUUAUGCUGGUGCUUACAAGUUAAGGACGAUUCAACAUGAAUUUAGCUAUUUGAUCACUAGAGUUCGAUAAGUGAGUAGAGCAAGGAAUAGCACCAAGCUUGAGUCUUUACCAAAGACUUCUAGAUUUGCCAACAAAGUUAGCUCUUCGGUUUGAGAACUUAUCUGCAGUUUUUGGUUUUCGUUCUCUUUUUGAUUCCUAUCAACUGAGUUGGUGUAAAUUUGCAGCUUGAUCUAGUAGAUAUCUCCCCAAAUUUCGGGUCAUACUUUCUUAAUUUGCAGCAAGAAAAAGUCUUCAGCAGUGAAACACCAUGUGGAGUUUCACAGGGAGAAAGAACCAGAAUGGUUGUGUACUGUUGGAAAGCAAAGUGGUUGUGGGAUUGUGCGGGAAGAAGAAGUAGAGAUCAGCUGGUGACCUAUUAAGCAAGAAGAGGAGCAUUUAGAUAUAGAUUAGAGUAGAGUAGCGUAGUUGAUGUCUUUGUAUAAGAUUUGGUUUGGAUUAAUAUUUGUAAGACUUGAUAUGUUUUUAUGGACUUUCUAUUUAUAUUUAAA